GACGAACGCUGGCGGCGUGCUUAACACAUGCAAGUCGAGCGAUGAAGUUCCUUCGGGAACGGAUUAGCGGCGGACGGGUGAGUAACACGUGGGUAACCUGCCUCAUAGAGGGGAAUAGCCUUUCGAAAGGAAGAUUAAUACCGCAUAAGAUUGUAGUAUCGCAUGAUACAGCAAUUAAAGGAGUAAUCCGCUAUGAGAUGGACCCGCGUCGCAUUAGCUAGUUGGUGAGGUAACGGCUCACCAAGGCGACGAUGCGUAGCCGACCUGAGAGGGUGAUCGGCCACAUUGGGACUGAGACACGGCCCAGACUCCUACGGGAGGCAGCAGUGGGGAAUAUUGCACAAUGGGGGAAACCCUGAUGCAGCAACGCCGCGUGAGUGAUGACGGUCUUCGGAUUGUAAAGCUCUGUCUUCAGGGACGAUAAUGACGGUACCUGAGGAGGAAGCCACGGCUAACUACGUGCCAGCCGCCGCCGUAA
rnacentral:rRNA from 1 species